rnacentral:rRNA from 1 species
GACGAACGCUGGCGGCGUGCUUAACACAUGCAAGUCGAACGGAAAGGCCCUGCUUUUGUGGGGUGCUCGAGUGGCGAACGGGUGAGUAACACGUGAGUAACCUGCCCUUGACUUUGGGAUAACUUCAGGAAACUGGGGCUAAUACCGGAUAGGAGCUCCUGCUGCCUGGUGGGGGUUGGAAAGUUUCGGCGGUUGGGGAUGGACUCGCGGCUUAUCAGCUUGUUGGUGGGGUAGUGGCUUACCAAGGCUUUGACGGGUGGCCGGCCUGAGAGGGUGACCGGCGACAUUGGGACUGUGAUACGGCCCAGACGCCUACGGGAGGCAGCAGUGGGGAAUAGUGCACAAUGGGCGGAAGCCUGAUGCAGCAACGCCGCGUGCGGGAUGACGGCCUUCGGGUUGUAAACCGCUUUCGCCUGUGACGAAGCGUGAGUGACGGUAAUGGGUAAAGAAGCACCGGCUAACUACGUGCCAGCCGCCGCGGUAAAAC